rnacentral:lncRNA from 1 species
UUGGGUGUCAGGAGUUGGGAGUCCUGCUCUAAUGCUGAGGCCCGGAGCCCUGCUGCAGGCACAGUACUGGUGAUUUCCAUGCAAGAGCAGCUGUGUAGGGGUACUCUAUCACUCUCAGAGAAGCAGUAUUCCCACUAGUUGAGACCCAGGUCACUGAGCUACACGAAUGCUGGCUCCCUCUGGUCCAUCAUCUUGGAUCCUCCUCCAUGCAAAACAAUUUUAAGUUCAACCCUUGCCCUGGCCUAGGCUUUAUGCCUUCUAUCUUGCUUGCUCAUGGAUCCCUUGCUCUGGAAGAAACCAGACGACACACCACAAGAACACUUGAGCAGUUGUGUGUAGGAGUUUUUGUGGCAAGGAACUGGGGUGGUUCUGCUCACAGCAGCAUCUACUUGACAGCCAUGUACUGAGCCAGGUCCUUGUAAGCUGAUUCUCCAGCCCUAGUCAAGAUCCUGACUGUGACCUCAGGAUAGACUAUGAACCAAAACUACCCAGCUUUGGGCUUCAGGAGAAACAAAAAAAAAAGAAGAAGAAAUGGAGGAAAGCAUGGAAAACAGGAAGAGAGUGGUGGAGUGGUUCAGGAGGUUCAGGAACCAUUUGCAACCUUCAAAAAGAGACAGAGAGAAACUGGUGCCAUCCAAACAGCAGGCACAGCCUUCCUGCUUCUUCUUUACCCCUCCUCCAGAACACCAACUUCCUUUCUUCCCUCCCUUGGCCCCGAUGGUGGGCAGGAGGGCUCUCUUUCCACCAUUGAAAGUAUUCAGCUGUGGAUAUCAUCAGGUACCAGUGAGCUCCCCUGGCUUCACCUUCCUCUGAGGGAAGAAAAGGAUGAAAGUGGGGGAGGUGGCAUUUUUGCUGAUACCUCUGUCUCUUGAAGCUGUCCCUCUGUCUCCUACCUGCUGUCUUCAGCAGCAGUGACUAGGGAAAGGCGGGGCCCAGGCGUGGAGUAAGGCACUGCCCUCCUUUUUCAAGGACAUCCCAGUAGCUUUUCCCUUCUCCCUCUCCGCCUCCUGUUUGCUGAUUCAUCAAAGCUUCAGCUUCAGGAUGUGGGCUUCUGUGUCAUGAGGGUGGACUUAUUUUUCUCCCCAGGAAGAGAUAUGAGGUAAUGUGACAAGAGCGCUCAUAAGUGCCAUUAGGGUAGGAGGUGACCUGUUCAUUCCUUAAGUACACCCAGAGCCUAGCACUGUAGUUAGUCCUCAGUCAGCUACUGAUUGCAGGGUGACCUCUACGGCCCAUGAGAAAAAAUAGUUUUCUGGGAAGGAGCAGAAGGGUAGGACCUGAGGACUAUAGUAACUGAGGAAAAUUCCUGUGAAGAUGAGUUAGAAUGAGAUGCAUCUUCUGUGUGUGGUGAUGUCUGACAGAGAGAUAUAGAGGCAUAUUUACAUGAGGGGUCUCCAGGUGUCUAUCAUGCUAUCAGUAAAAGUUAUCU